GACGAACCGAGCGAACGUUAUUCGGAAUCACUGGGCUUAAAGGGCGCGUAGGCGGGCGGUCAAGUCAGGGGUGAAAGCCCCCAGCUCAACUGGGGAAGUGCCUUUGAUACUGGUCGUCUCGAGGGGGAUAGGGGCGUGCGGAACUUCCGGUGGAGCGGUGAAAUGCGUAGAUAUCGGAAGGAACACCGGUGGCGAAAGCGGCGCGCUGGAUCCCUUCUGACGCUGAGGCGCGAAAGCGUGGGGAGCAAACAGG
rnacentral:rRNA from 1 species